GGCUCAGGACGAACGCUGGCGGCGUGCUUAACACAUGCAAGUCGAACGAUGAACCACUUCGGUGGGGAUUAGUGGCGAACGGGUGAGUAACACGUGGGCAAUCUGCCCUUCACUCUGGGACAAGCCCUGGAAACGGGGUCUAAUACCGGAUACAACACUCUCGGGCAUCCGAUGAGUGUGGAAAGCUCCGGCGGUGAAGGAUGAGCCCGCGGCCUAUCAGCUUGUUGGUGAGGUAAUGGCUCACCAAGGCGACGACGGGUAGCCGGCCUGAGAGGGCGACCGGCCACACUGGGACUGAGACACGGCCCAGACUCCUACGGGAGGCAGCAGUGGGGAAUAUUGCACAAUGGGCGAAAGCCUGAUGCAGCGACGCCGCGUGAGGGAUGACGGCCUUCGGGUUGUAAACCUCUUUCAGCAGGGAAGAAGCGAAAGUGACGGUACCUGCAGAAGAAGCGCCGGCUAACUACGUGCCAGCAGCCGCGGUAAUACGUAGGGCGCGAGCGUUGUCCGGAAUUAUUGGGCGUAAAGAGCUCGUAGGCGGUCUGUCGCGUCGGAUGUGAAAGCCCGGGGCUUAACCCCGGGUCUGCAUUCGAUACGGGCAGACUAGAGUGUGGUAGGGGAGAUCGGAAUUCCUGGUGUAGCGGUGAAAUGCGCAGAUAUCAGGAGGAACACCGGUGGCGAAGGCGGAUCUCUGGGCCAUUACU
rnacentral:rRNA from 1 species